UACGGAGGGAGCUAGCGUUGUUCGGAAUUACUGGGCGUAAAGCGCACGUAGGCGGCUAUUCAAGUCAGAGGUGAAAGCCCAGGGCUUAACCUUGGAACUGCCUUUGAAACUAGAUAGCUAGAAUCUUGGAGAGGUCAGUGGAAUUCCGAGUGUAGAGGUGAAAUUCGUAGAUAUUCGGAAGAACACCAGUGGCGAAGGCGACUGACUGGACAAGUAUUGACGCUGAGGUGCGAAAGCGUGGGGAGCAAACAGG
rnacentral:rRNA from 1 species